GCCGGGAUGGUGAAAUUGGCAGACACACUACCUUGAGGUGGUAGCGCUCGCAAGGGCAUGGAGGUUCAAGUCCUCUUCCCGGCACCA
rnacentral:tRNA from 1 species